rnacentral:rRNA from 1 species
AUUGAACGCUGGCGGCAGGCCUAACACAUGCAAGUCGAACGGUAACAGGAAACAGCUUGCUGUUUCGCUGACGAGUGGCGGACGGGUGAGUAAUGUCUGGGAAACUGCCUGAUGGAGGGGGAUAACUACUGGAAACGGUAGCUAAUACCGCAUAACGUCGCAAGACCAAAGAGGGGGACCCUCGGGCCUCUUGCCAUCGGAUGUGCCCAGAUGGGAUUAGCUUGUUGGUGGGGUAACGGCUCACCAAGGCGACGAUCCCUAGCUGGUCUGAGAGGAUGACCAGCCACACUGGAACUGAGACACGGUCCAGACUCCUACGGGAGGCAGCAGUGGGGAAUAUUGCACAAUGGGCGCAAGCCUGAUGCAGCCAUGCCGCGUGUAUGAAGAAGGCCUUCGGGUUGUAAAGUACUUUCAGCGGGGAGGAAGGGAGUAAAGUUAAAACCUUUGCUCAUUGACGUUACCCGCAGAAGAAGCACCGGCUAACUCCGUG